AUAGGAUCGAGGAAGUUCCUCGGACUGCACCUGAAGAGGUCACCUCUUCUCGAUGUGAUUAGUCAAAUUCUUGGAGACCAGAUAGUCUAGUCAUUGAGAAUUAUAGUCAUUGAGAAUUAUAUGGAUCCACUGCAUGAGAGGUCGGAGCUAACUGAGGUUGAUAUUCGACACUUGAAGGACCGAUAUCAGGUCUUGAGUCAUUAUCAAUUCUUAACUCUGGGCUG
rnacentral:lncRNA from 1 species